rnacentral:lncRNA from 1 species
UUUUUUGGCAAAAAAUAAGUCUUUAAAAUGUACAUUCUAUCACUAAUAAGUAAAGUAAAGGUGUGUAUUUCUUCUUUUCCAUAGAUUUGAAAGAUUGUGUAUCCCAUUGGGAGUGCUCCUAAAAGAGAACAAAAUUACCUGUAUCUGGACAAAAAAAUUGAGAGACAGACUUAAACUUCACUGAAAACCAUUUUGGAAGUGCAUUUAAUAUAACUUAUUUCUAACUUCUCUUUUAAUCUCAUAGUGUAAAAUAAAACACGUUAAAAUAAUACUAUUUGUAUGUAAAACUUUUUUUUAUAAUAUAGACUGCAAAUUUAUUACAGUCUCAUUUUUCCAGUAGUUAAACAUACGUAAAAACUUUUUCAUGAACUGAUGACUUUCUGUUUCAAAAAAC